CCUACGGGGCGCACCAGUGGGGAAUAUUGCACAAUGGGCGCAAGCCUGAUGCAGCCAUGCCGCGUGUAUGAAGAAGGCCCUAGGGUUGUAAAGUACUCUCAGUCGGGAGGAAGGCGUUGAUGCUAAUAUCAUCAGCGAUUGACGUUACCGACAGAAGAAGCACCGGCUAACUCCGUGCCAGCAGCCGCGGUAAUACGGAGGGUGCAAGCGUUAAUCGGAAUUACUGGGCGUAAAGCGCACGCAGGCGGUUGAUUAAGUUAGAUGUGAAAUCCCCGGGCUUAACCUGGGAAUGGCAUCUAAGACUGGUCAGCUAGAGUCUUGUAGAGGGGGGUAGAAUUCCAUGUGUAGCGGUGAAAUGCGUAGAGAUGUGGAGGAAUACCGGUGGCGAAGGCGGCCCCCUGGACAAAGACUGACGCUCAGGUGCGAAAGCGUGGGGAGCAAACAGGAUUAGAUACCCUCGUAGUC
rnacentral:rRNA from 1 species